UGUUGUUGGGUUGAACUGCUGUUUAGAAUGGUUCUAUUUUCUCUAGGGCUGUCCAAGAAAAAUCGAGAACCGUGAAAUCGAUCCGGACCGAACCGAUCCGUGCUUUUUGGAUUUUAUCCGUGGAUUAAUGGUCCGGAUACGGAUUCGAAAAUUAAGAUACGGAUUAUGAUUGGAUUUUCAUUUCAAAAACCAUGAAUUAACCGAACCGAACCAUAAGAUAUUUAAAAAAAUAAAAAAUGUGUGUGUGUGUACUGAAGAUCAACCUCUCACUCUAUAGUUCCUGAAGCAACUAUCUUUUUUCAUAUAAUAGCGUUUAACCCGUUCUAUACACGGGUAAAACUAACAUGUUAUAGCAUUGUGCCCGUUCAAACCUACUUUUAUUAAUUGUCCCGUGUAUCGAACGGGCACAACGCUAGAACCGGGGCAGUUGAGUGUCUCUCACAAUCUAAUGGUCAGUUUUGUAAAAAAGUAAUGACAACAUCUUAUCUAGUGAGGAAAAUCGUUAACUAUAUUUAUCUUCGUGGCAUUCCAGACAAUUACAGUCUUAUAAAGGUACGGCCAGUUAUGUUAAACUCAAUCCCUUCUGUUAAACUAUACUGGGAUCCUAAUUGAAGCAUUCCAUCGAACACGUGGAAGCCACUGAAGCAUUAUGUUUUUUAAGCCAAAUUUUCCAAUUACAGUUGGAGAUUUUAUCAAAUACUUGGAAAGCAAUUGAGGGAAGAAUAAGAAC